rnacentral:misc_RNA from 1 species
UCUCCGUUGGUGAACCAGCGGAGGGAUCAUUAUCGAGUUUAUAACUCCCAAACCCUAUGUGAACUUACCACUUGUUGCUUCGGCGCGCGCUUCGGUGCCGCCGAGGACACUUAAACUCUUUGCUUUUAUAAGCAUUUCUGAGUGGCCGAAAGGCAAAAUACAAAUGAAUCAAAACUUUCAACAACGGAUCUCUCGGUUCUG